GGAGGUCACUGUAUUUGUACAAACAAGGAGAUCACUGGGGAAUGGUUUCCAGAGCUGGGACGCCCCGGCAGCAGUAAGGGCUUGAGAUGAAUAUUCAGAGGGGGGUUUUAACAUUCGAAUGAAGCUGAGGUCACUGUCAGGGAAUUUCUGAUUCAUCGGGCAGGCGUGGUCCUCGAACGUUUCUUCGUUUCUAAAAGAUGAUAAGCAGAAGCUUCUAGGGGUUUUCUGAGUUUAGGAGGUCAGGGCAUCAAUCCUGAGCUCAGGGGGUCAAGGAGUCACCGGUGACAUGGCCUGGAUAGGGGACCUAAGAAACUCAGGCCCAGAAGAAUUUCAGCUGUGCACCGCCCACUUACCUGCUCCAACUGCCCGGGGUUGGUGGGAGGUGAAGGUGUAAGGCCUGACACCCGGCCCUGACAGAGAGAGAAAGAGCACGAACGGGGGAGGAGCAGAGAGAGAGG